GAUGAACGCUAGCGGCAGGCUUAAUACAUGCAAGUCGAGGGGUAGCAAGAUUGUAGCAAUACAAUUGUUGACGACCGGCAAACGGGUGCGGAACACGUACACAACCUUCCUCCAAGUGGGGAAUAGCCCAGAGAAAUUUGGAUUAAUACCCCGUAACAUAGCGAUGUGGCAUCACAUUGCUAUUAUAGCUUCGGCGCUUGUUGACGGGUGUGCGGCUGAUUAGAUAGUUGGCGGGGUAACGGCCCACCAAGUCUACGAUCAGUAGCUGAUGUGAGAGCAUGAUCAGCCACACGGGCACUGAGACACGGGCCCGACUCCUACGGGAGGCAGCAGUAAGGAAUAUUGGACAAUGGACGCAAGUCUGAUCCAGCCAUGCCGCGUGAAGGAUUAAGGUCCUCUGGAUUGUAAACUUCUUUUAUAAGGGACGAAAAAAGGUCUUUCUAGAUCGUCUGACGGUACCUUAUGAAUAAGCACCGGCUAACUCCGUGCCAGCCGCCGCGGUAAAAC
rnacentral:rRNA from 1 species